GUGGGGAAUAUUGGACAAUGGGCGAAAGCCUGAUCCAGCCAUGCCGCGUGUGUGAAGAAGGUCUUCGGAUUGUAAAGCACUUUAAGUUGGGAGGAAGGGCAGUAAGUUAAUACCUUGCUGUUUUGACGUUACCAACAGAAUAAGCACCGGCUAACUUCGUGCCAGCAGCCGCGGUAAUACGAAGGGUGCAAGCGUUAAUCGGAAUUACUGGGCGUAAAGCGCGCGUAGGUGGUUCAGCAAGUUGAAGGUGAAAUCCCCGGGCUCAACCUGGGAACUGCCUCCAAAACUGCAUGACUAGAGUACGGUAGAGGGUAGUGGAAUUUCCUGUGUAGCGGUGAAAUGCGUAGAUAUAGGAAGGAACACCAGUGGCGAAGGCGACUACCUGGACUGAUACUGACACUGAGGUGCGAAAGCGUGGGGAGCAAACAGGAUUAGAAACCCUAGUAGUCC
rnacentral:rRNA from 1 species